rnacentral:rRNA from 1 species
GGCAGGCCUAACACAUGCAAGUCGAGCGGUAGAGAGAAGCUUGCUUCUCUUGAGAGCGGCGGACGGGUGAGUAAUGCCUAGGAAUCUGCCUGGUAGUGGGGGAUAACGUUCGGAAACGGACGCUAAUACCGCAUACGUCCUACGGGAGAAAGCAGGGGACCUUCGGGCCUUGCGCUAUCAGAUGAGCCUAGGUCGGAUUAGCUAGUUGGUGAGGUAAUGGCUCACCAAGGCGACGAUCCGUAACUGGUCUGAGAGGAUGAUCAGUCACACUGGAACUGAGACACGGUCCAGACUCCUACGGGAGGCAGCAGUGGGGAAUAUUGGACAAUGGGCGAAAGCCUGAUCCAGCCAUGCCGCGUGUGUGAAGAAGGUCUUCGGAUUGUAAAGCACUUUAAGUUGGGAGGAAGGGUUGUAGAUUAAUACUCUGCAAUUUUGACGUUACCGACAGAAUAAGCACCGGCUAACUCUGUGCCAGCAGCCGCGGUAAUACAGAGGGUGCAAGCGUUAAUCGGAAUUACUGGGCGUAAAGCG